GGCGUCGAGGCUUACCAUGCAGUCGAGGGGCAGCAUUAUUUUAGCUUGCUAAGAUAGAUGGCGACCGGCGCACGGGUGCGUAACGCGUAUGCAACCUGCCUGUAAUUAGGGAAUAACCCGGUGAAAGUCGGACUAAUACCCUAUAUUCUUCUUUCUCCGCAUGGGGAUAGACGGAAAGAUUUAUUGAUUACAGAUGGGCAUGCGUCCCAUUAGCUAGUUGGUAAGGUAACGGCUUACCAAGGCAACGAUGGGUAGGGGGACUGAGAGGUUGACCCCCCACACUGGUACUGAGACACGGACCAGACUCCUACGGGAGGCAGCAGUGAGGAAUAUUGGUCAAUGGGCGAGAGCCUGAACCAGCCAAGUCGCGUGAAGGACGACGGUUCUAUGGAUUGUAAACUUCUUUUGUAGAGGAAUAACGGCAGCUACGUGUAGCUGAGAUGCAUGUACUCUACGAAUAAGUAUCGGCUAACUCCGUGCCAGCAGCCGCGGUAAUACGGAGGAUACGAGCGUUAUCCGGAAUUAUUGGGUUUAAAGGGUGCGUAGGUGGCGUAUUAAGUCAGUGGUGAAAAGCUGCAGCUCAACUGUAGUCUUGCCGUUGAAACUGAUAUGCUAGAGAGGAGACGAGGUAUGCGGAAUGUGUGGUGUAGCGGUGAAAUGCAUAGAUAUCACACAGAACGCCGAUUGCGAAGGCAGCGUACCAGGCUCCGUCUGACACUGAAGCACGAAAGCGUGGGGAUCAAACAGGAUUAGAUACCCUGGUAGUCCACGCAGUAAACGAUGAAUACUAGAUUUUUGCGAUAUAGUGUAAGAGUCUAAGCGAAAGCGAUAAGUAUUCCACCUGGGGAGUACGCCGGCAACGGUGAAACUCAAAGGAAUUGACGGA
rnacentral:rRNA from 1 species